AAUUGAAACACCGGUUCUCGUAUGAUCACCGAAGUUAAGCAACGUUGGGCGUGGUCAGUAACAAGUUUAGUGACCACUUUGAAUACCAAGUGUUGGAAG